ACACAGCAUAUGUUUGAGAAGGGAGC
rnacentral:piRNA from 1 species